UCAUUGCAGCUACCUGGAUCACAAUCAAUUUACUGGGAGAAUCCCUGAUGCAUUCUAUAAGCACACUUUCUUGAAAGAAAUGUAUAUUGAAGGAAAUGCUUUCCGACCAGGUGUGAACCCUAUUGGCGUCCACAAUGUCCUUGAAGUUUCUGACACAGAGUUCUUGUUUUAGUCAAAGCUUCCACAUAUUAUUUACUCGUAGAAUUGUUUCUUUUUGUUCUUGCUAAAACUAGGGUGUUUCAGUUUGAAUUGGAAUGUAGUUCUAUAAAUAGGAUGUAUAUAAUGUACACUAGUGUUUUGGGAAAUUUAAGAAAUUUUGGAAGUAGGUUGUUUGACAGUUUAGAAA